rnacentral:rRNA from 1 species
UACGAAGGGGGCUAGCGUUGCUCGGAAUCACUGGGCGUAAAGGGUGCGUAGGCGGGUCUUUAAGUCAGGGGUGAAAUCCUGGAGCUCAACUCCAGAACUGCCUUUGAUACUGAGGAUCUUGAGUUCGGGAGAGGUGAGUGGAACUGCGAGUGUAGAGGUGAAAUUCGUGAGAUAUACGCAAGAACACCAGUGGCGAAGGCGGCUCACUGCCCGAUACUGACGCUGAGGCACGAAAGUGUGGGGAGCAAACAGG